CAGAGAUUAGUCUAAAUUAUAAGAUGCUAGUUUUGGAGAUUAGUGAUGAAUUAAUUAUUUAUCUCUGA
rnacentral:tRNA from 1 species